rnacentral:rRNA from 1 species
AUUGAACGCUGGCGGCAUGCUUUACACAUGCAAGUCGAACGGCAGCGCGGGCUUCGGCCUGGCGGCGAGUGGCGAACGGGUGAGUAAUGCAUCGGAACGUGCCCAGUAGCGGGGGAUAGCCCGGCGAAAGCCGGAUUAAUACCGCAUACGACCUGAGGGUGAACGCGGGGGACCGAAAGGCCUCGCGCUAUUGCAGCGGCCGAUGUCGGAUUAGCUAGUUGGUGGGGUAAAGGCUUACCAAGGCGACGAUCCGUAGCUGGUCUGAGAGGACGACCAGCCACACUGGGACUGAGACACGGCCCAGACUCCUACGGGAGGCAGCAGUGGGGAAUAUUGGACAAUGGGGGCAAGCCUGAUCCAGCCAUGCCGCGUGCGGGAAGAAGGCCUUCGGGUUGUAAACCGCUUUUGUUCGGGAAGAAAUCCUCUGGGCUAAUACCCCGGGGGGAUGACGGUACCGGAAGAAUAAGCACCGGCUAACUACGUG